rnacentral:lncRNA from 1 species
GUGUGUAUUUGAUCGAUCAGAACGCAGGCAACAAAGGGGAUUUUCCCUCAAACCCUAAUGUUCACAAAAUCCAUCAAUUGAAGGUUCAAAUCGAGUCCGAAUUGAAAUCUGAAUAUAGAAUUGUGAUCACCUUGACUAAGGGAUCGUAAGAGGUGAUAUGUGGGUUUUUGUAGAAAAGCAACACGAGUGAGGCGUCGGGAAGUCAAGCCGGUGCGGACGCUCGCCAAAAGGGAAAGCUCUAAGGUACGUGGUUAACGCUACUAUAAUGUUGAUGAUCUAGUUCUCAUGUUAAUGGUUUACUAGUUAUGAACAAUAGAGAGUCGUGAUGGUUUGGUUGCUUGAAAUGAGGGACCUCAUAAUGGCAAACCAAAAUGAGCUAAUAGUGGUGGGUACAAACCGGGUAACGGAAGUACCUCAUCCGUAGUCCAUAAACCCGUGUGUCGGGUAAUGGGAAGAAUAUUAUUUGUCACGCAAACCGGUAAUGGGAGCGUGUGGGUUGAAGUAAGGGAUCCUAAACGGAUCAUAAUUGCUGUAAAGGAACACCCCGUGCUGUGCUUUGAUGUCCUUAAAGUGCAGGAAUUGGUAUAAACGGGUCAAAACAGCAAACAGGAAGGAUAUGCAGAGACUACCGUAAAUUACGGUACUACCGUAAUUUACGGUGGAGAGUAAACCUUUACGGUGGUUCUCUACUGAUUUACGGUAGAACCAUAAACGUCCAGCUCUCACCGUAAAUUACGGUGACCACCGUAAUUUACGGUGGAGUCCAGCUAAGAAUGUCAAGUUUUGUAUAAUUUCAUAUUUUGAAUCCGAUUUAAACGUACAUUUAAUUAUGUGAAAUUUGAGGGAUUCUAACCUUGAUAUUUUGUUAAAUUUCCAGCUUUAAAGUAAGUCAAUCAAAUGGAUGGUGAUCAACGCAAGGCUUCUGAACCGAACACAAUCAAUAAGUUGUUCUUCACUUUUGUCUUAGAUGUUCGCUAGUGAUAAUUUUGUAAUGAAAGGAAUACUUAUGUAUCCUUUUUGUGUUGUGGUGGUUUUCAAACACUUAUGUUCUAAACUAGAAUUAAAAUUUGUGUUUGUGUUUUAAAUGAUUAUGAUCCUUCUUAUCUAGUCG